GUUCUCUCUGAGCCCGAGCCGGAGCCCGAACCCGAGCCCGAAGAGGUUAAGGGUUAAACCUGAGCUCUGCCGCCAAACGCGAGGGGUGGUCCUCUAUUGGCUCACGAUUGAAAUAGCAUUUUUUUUGGCCAAAAAGUACAAGCAUAGUAGGAACUCAUGCCAGCAGGAAUAUGCAAGUCAAAGCUCAGCAGCUAUAAUCUCCCCCCUUCAAUGUACCCCUGCCCUACACAAGGCCAUUCUCUGAGGGAGUAUCCUGGGAACAAACAAUCUGACACCAUGAGCCCAGGAGUGUACUCAGUCCCAGUGAGCCAUCUCAGGAACCUCUCUACCCUUUCUACAAGAAGUCACUCCCAGGUGGUUAGAGAUGAAUCCUGUUUGCUAGUCCUGGCCUAGAACAAUGCCUCUCACACAGAGCUUAACUUCUGAGAAAUUCAUGGAAAGAAUUCUGACACAGGAUUCUAGAAUACAAGUUUCUGAUAAACUUUCAGAUCAUAAAACUGAACUGGGUAAGAAAUUACAGAAUUCUGACGGAGAAACUGAUGGCCUCAUAAAACUGCUAACAGAAGAUGAAGAUCAAGAAUCGAUUAUACAGGACUGUAUGAACUGAUGAGGAUGAUUAUAAUUUUUAUGACUUUUGCUUGAAAUAUUGUUGAUUUUUUUGAUGUUUUGUUUUCUCAGAUUUAAGGAAAUCUUUUUCUCUUUUCUCUUAUGCUAACUAUGACUUACAGCAAUUUGGUGAAAUUAUACCUGUAUGAGCAGAACUGAAACAUUUAUCUUUUUCUCCCUACCUGUUCCCUCCAGAAUUUGGAAACUUUGUGAGUGAGGAUGGUUAUUUUGUGGCAACAUAGUUAUUUGCAUAACUUCAAUAAGAAUCUGUUCUUCUUAUAACAGGACACAUUGGUUAUAUUACCAAGGCUUUGACUGGAAUGUCGUAUUUGAGAGAAACAUACAGGCUCAGAUAUGA